rnacentral:rRNA from 1 species
AGAGGUGGCGAGCGUUGUUCGGAUUUACUGGGCGUAAAGGGUGCGUAGGCGGUUCGGUAUGUCAGGCGUGAAAUCUCACCGUCCAACGGUGAAACUGCGUUUGAAACUGCCGGACUAGAGUACAGGAGGGGAGAGCGGAAUUCUCGGUGUAGCGGUGAAAUGCGUAGAUAUCGAGAAGAACACCGGCGGCGAAGGCGGCUCUCUGGACUGAUACUGACGCUGAGGCACGAAAGCUGGGGGAGCGAACAGGGAUUAGAUACCCUGGUAGUCCCAGCCGUAAACGGUGUGCACUUGGUGUGGGCGGUCUUGUCCCCCCGUCCGUGCCGGAGCUAACGUGUUAAGUGCACCGCCUGGGGAGUACGGCCGCAAGGCUA